GUUAAUAAAUUUAUUUUGAAAUAAUUUUACAUUUAGAGAAGAGUUGGGAAGAUAAUACAGAGAGCUCCUUUAUACUCUUUACCUAGCUACCCCUAAUGUUAACAUCUUACACAACCAGCUACAUUUAACAAAACUAAGAAAUCAACAUUGGUAUCAUACUAUGAACUAAACUACAGACUUCUUUAAGAUUUCAUCGGUUUUUCCCACAGUAGGCUACUGGUGGCUAUGAUUUUCCAAUAGGAAUACCUCUGAGCCACAAGUUGAAAGGAAGCACCUGUUUGAUAAUGUCAAAAAUGAGCCUCAGGUGUCAGUAUUCAACCAUCAGGUCAGGAAGCCAGUUUAUAUAAAGAGAGUAGCCAAGCAUCAUUUAAGAUGUCUGGAUGUCGUCAAGGUGUGUCAGAAGUAAGAGGUGAAUACAAGCCUCUUGGAGCUAUUAACUCUACUUGAAGCAGGAUUCCAAGGAGACAACACCGAGAGUGGCAGCACAGCGUAGCAGUUCAGAACCACUGAUGGAUGCUGGAGCUACAUGGCUGGCUUCAAAUCACAGCUGGAUAUUGCUUACUGGAUGUGUGAUGUUGGGCAGCAACUUGACUCAUUUAAUCUUCACAACAGCCCUAUGAAGAAACAAUUCCUCCAUAACAGAAGGCAGCAUCAGCCACAGCCUAUCCUGAAGAGCACUAAUGUCAAGAGGAAGAAGAACAGUGCAAAGGAAAGGAUGCUGUAGAGGCUUUGAGAGCAGUCUGGUUUUCAAUAUAUGCCUGUUACGGGUUGAAUUGUGUCCCUCCCAAAUUCAUACGUUGAAGUCCCAGCUCCUAGUACCUCAGAAUGUGACCUUAUUUGGAGAUUUGGACGAGACUGUGAACUGGAUAACAACUUACCCAUCUGCAGUAGUGUGCCCUGCUGCUGUUUUCCAAUGGCAACUGAGACAUCCCUUUGAUAAUAUAGCUCCUGGAUCUUUUUCUUAUUCUAACUCUUCUAGCUAUUCAAGAAAUUAAUCAGUUAAAGUUCAAAGGAUUUCCCAAGUUGAAGACCCUUAAGCUAGAAAAAGGCAAUAAGCCCAAGCAACUACUGUGAGACUUGACAUGUGUCCCUCAGCAAACUUUACAUUACACAGGACUAUUUAUUGCCUUAAACAAUGAAGAUAGAAGGAAGAAAACAAUGUGCUGAAGAUAGAUAUAUAGCUUAUUCCUCUGUGUGAGGAUAGAUUUAACUUGCUCCUGGACUGGGAUAACUCUAUGCCUGUCUACAGGGAUGCCUGAAACUCUGGUAGUGACUGUUGGCUAAGAUAAGGAUAAUAUGUGCUAGUUAAUGAUUUAUAAUAUGCUAUUUGAAGCUCAAAAUUUUCUUGGAGACAUCCUGUACUGGCUUGUUUACCUUGGUUAGGGAUCUAUAGAUUGAAGGUUUGCACCUGGUUUCAUUGUUCACAUGGUCUGGUUUUAGGUGUGACCAGAGGAGUAUUAAAGAUCUCUCAGUGAACCUGUGUCUCAGCUUCAUUGGAACUAAGAUACCUUGAAUAUAUCUUAGUGGGCCAUAAUCUGAAUGCAAAGCAUAUUCUCUGUAACUGAGAAAGGACUCUGAGAGGUGCUCCUGGACAUAUCAAAACCCUCAAUGAUUGACUAUACUUUCUUUCACCUGCUGUACUUACCUUUAUUAAAGCCUUAUGUUGUAAGUCCUUUCAAUUUUCUGACCCUGUGUGAUUGUUAUACCCUUAAACCCUAGAUGGAAACCUGAGAACUUGGUCCCUUCCUAAAAUUUACCUUGAAAGGUAAAGCAAGCACUAGUCCUGGAGACUGAAAAUUGCAAAGAAAAUGGUAAAGUAGUAGGGGCCCCAAUCUUUGUUGGGUUUUAAGACAAACUCAAAGCCUGGAUAAGAAACAAUAAAGAUAUCUGUGGAAUCCUGGAUCUUAGUUCUAGGUGUAAGUGGAGGGAAAUUGAGGAGUAACACAGGUAUAGAAUAGACACUAUUGGGUCAUCAGAUCCCAGUCUCUCCGCCUCUGUCAGUAACAUAACUCCAGAUAGGGGUGGGGAUUGAGCCUGCAGGUGAAAUUAAAACAGGUCUGACAGUUUUUUCUACUGGUUCACUUGACUUCUAUUCUUCUAGAGACUGUUUCUGGGGCCAAAAGCAUUACAGGAUAUAAGGGAGUAAAAGCUAGAGCCUAAUGAAAAUUGCACAAUUAAAUCAAGGUCAUCUGCCAAAGACAC
rnacentral:lncRNA from 1 species